rnacentral:rRNA from 1 species
AUUCUCAGUCUAAUGCUACUCUGAACAUGCCCCAUCCCGUCAGAUCUCAGAAGCAAAGGAGGGUCAGGCCUGGUUAGCACUUGGAUGGGAGACCACCUAAGGAGACUAGGUGCUGUAGGUG